UAUUGCCGCAUUGAUGUCCAAAACCCUCUUGAGAGAGAGAGAGAGAGAGAGAGGUCGGUCAUCUUGAGGUGAACGACUUGUGGGUCUUUCUCUCGAAUGGAUCGGUUCGUCAGUGCCCAGGCUCCUUGUCUCUCGGUAGGAGGGCCUCCCUCUCAAGUGGGCUUCUAGUUUCCGGCAAACUAAGUGCUCAGGUAUGCUCUCGCAAUACGUCUCAACGAGAAUGACUCCAAAGAAGGCGGUGGUAACUUUUUGAAGCUAGCGGGAGUGACUGGAAGUGCUACUGCUCUUAGCAAAGUCUUGGGAUUAGUUCGUGAGCUUGUUCUUGCUGCUGUAUUUGGUGUUGGUCCUGUCGUAGAUGCGUUCGGAUAUGCGUCCAUUGUACCAGGAUUUUUUCUGAUAAUCCUUGGAGGAAUCAAUGGACCAAUCCACAUAACAAUGGUAUCGGCCUUAAGAUAUCUUUGAGCCUUGGCAUUCUCAUGUACACAUUAGCGGCUUUUCUUAUUGAUGCAAUCGCACCAGGAUUGUUAUUGAAAACAAGCGGUGGAUUGAUCACGAGAAGCAUGGCUAUACUUCAGCUGAGAAUCACGGCGCCUUGUGUAACACUCGCGUGCUUGAUGGGAAUCGGCUGUGGAAGUUUUGACCGAGCUUUCACGUCCAGUUUGUAGCCAAACUUUGGAAUGGGUUUUCGUGUGCAGUGUCUCGGGAAGAUACGGGAUUGCAUCCUUGAGUCCUGCUCUAUCAAGCAUAUCGAUCAUUCUCGCUGCUGCAAUUCAUUGCAAGCUUUGCAAUCCUCAUUGCCUUGAGCUUUAAAGUCGAUUCAUACAAAGUGGUGCUUGACAGGAGGUGUUUUGCUCGUUUUGGCCUCGACAGUGGGAGCUUUGGCUCAAUGGCUUUUGCAGAUCUUUGCUCAAGAUGAUCGAGGCAUCAAGCUUUGCAUGCUUUUAAUGACCGCUCUCGCGAUCCCUCUCGCUAAACCGAUCGUCCGAGCUCUCGUCCAGUGCUACACAUUUGGCGACUCCGCCGCUCAAGCCGUAUCAUUGCUCGUCAAGCACUAUGCGAUGGCCUCUACUUGCGACCUCCUUGAACGUAUUUUCUACGCUCUUGGCGAUCUCGAUUUUACGUGAGCUUGGCUGCCAUCUAACGCUCUCUUGGACUGGCUGCUCGUUGGAAAACUUUGUGGAAACUCUCUCUCUCUCUCUCUCUCUCUCUCUCUCUCGUGCUCCAGGUAAUGGCCACUUCAAUGGCACCGCUACGUAACAUUCUAGAUGGGCCUGACAGCCAAAGCUUUUGGAGAAGCUCACAACACCGGCUCCUCAGAUGAUCAAACUUCCGGUUGCUUCCUUUUGUUGCAGCUUUUAGACGACGGUGCGACCUUGUCAGGCAUCCCAAAAUUUAGCGCAUGACUGUUGCGGAGUUUUCGGAACGGAGUGGAGGCUCCACGCUUGUUGAUGUAAGCUGGUGCCCCAGAAGGAGGCUUUCUUCAAGGUGCUUAAUUCUUCUCACCCAAAAAUUGUGGGUCUUGGCAUGGCU